rnacentral:lncRNA from 1 species
AUGGUCCAUACUGGUCUGUACUGGUUCUUACUGGCCCAUAUGGUCCAUACUGGUUUGUACUGGUCCAUGUGGCCCGUACUGGUUCUUACUGGUUUGUACUGGUCCAUAUGGUCCGUACUGGUUCUUACUGGUCCACAUGGUCCAUACUGGUUCUUACUGGUCCAUGUGGUCCGUACUGGUUCUUACUGGUUUGUACUGGUCCAUAUGGUCCGUACUGGUUCUUACUGGUCCACAUGGUCCAUACUGGUUCUUACUGGUCCAUGUGGUCCGUACUGGUUCUUACUGGUUUGUACUGGUCCAUAUGGUCCGUACUGGUUCUUAGUGGCCCAUAUGGUCCAUACUGGUUCUUACUGGUCUGUACUGGUUCUUACUGGUCUGUACUGGUUCUUACUGGUCCGUACUGGUUCUUUCUGGCCCACAUGGUCCAUAGUGGUUUUUACUGGUCCAUAUGAUCCAUACUGGUUCGUACUGGUUCUUACUGGUCUGUACUGGUCCACAUGGUCCGUACUGGUUCUUACUGGUCCAUGUGGUCCGUACUGGUUCUUACUGGUUUGUACUGGUCCAUAUGGUCCGUACUGGUUCUUACUGGUCCAUGUGGUCCAUACUGGUUCUUACUGGUUUGUACUGGUCCACAUGGUCUGUACUGGUUCUUACUGGUUUGUACUGGCCCAUAUGGUCCAUACUGGUUUUUACUGGUCCACAUGGUCCAUACUGGUUCUUCCUGGUUCUUCCUGGUUGGUACUGGUCGGUACUGGUCGGUACUGGUCGGUACUGGUCGGUACUGGUCGGUACUGGUGCGCUCAGGAGCUGGGGGCGUCCCGGUCCCCCCCCUGCACCAGCAGCACCGGCCCCAGCCCCUCGGUCAGAACCUCCAGCAGCUCCAGGUCUGACCCACGUCAAGGCCUCUGCCCCACGGCGCGACCCACACCCUGCCCCACACCCCAUCCCUGCCCCACACCCUGCCCCACACCCUGCCCCACGGCCUGACCCACAGCGUGACCCACGUCAAGGCCUCUGCCCCACGGCGCGACCCACACCCUGCCCCACGGCCUGACCCACAGCGUGACCCACGUCAAGGCCUCUGCCCCACGGCGCGACCCACACCCUGCCCCACACCCCAUCCCUGCCCCACGGCUGCCC